GCGCUCGUUGAUGUGGUUGCUCCAUAAUAAUGGGCCGGCAAUGCGCAACAGAUGGCAGUUAUUAGGCAGCGGAUCAAGGAGAUGUGUGAAAGUUGAAAAGAUGAAUGACAGAUGCGGAACAGAGGCGGCGGCUGCAAAGUUUCUGUUCUACAGACACACAAAGGUAACUCCUGUGUGAAACCUGGGCUACAAGAAGAAUGACAUACAAACAAUAGAACAUGAAGCUACACAAAACAGAUAAAAAUGCAAAACAAUAUAUUAAUCCUUUUAAAUAGGCUGCUGGUCAUAUAUGCAGCAAGGUUGCUGCUCCAAACAUCUGAGUGACCUUAAUUAAAGAAUCUGUGUGUUUCCAUCUUGUGCUGAAUGAGACACUCAUUUGUUUUCAGUGACGAGAAAAAAAACUCAGGAAGGAAAAGAGAAGGCCACAAAGAUGAGGAGAAAAGCUUGAGGGUAACAGUGUGUCUUUCAACACGUAGGCCACUGUAUACUGAAAUCAGCGCUUAGCAACAGCUUCCAACUGAGUCCCCGUUGUCAUGGAGACGAGCAAAGGAUGCUGAAAACAUUCAACACGCAGCGUCAUGUAUUCUGGACAAAAUAUCAGCAGGAAGCCGCAGACUCCAUUUGGAGAAGACAGAGUCGGCCAAGGAAGCGCUGCUGCCGCUGCCGGUGGUACCCAGCCAGCUGUAAAGGUGAAGAGUCCGGCUGUGAACAGAGGGAUAUGAGCUCCUCUUGCUGUGGGCUAAUUAGCAGAGGUGAGGAGAAGUCUUCCUGUAAGCAUUUACUUUCCCAUUGACCUUCUGUCAGCAGCCAGUUAAC
rnacentral:lncRNA from 1 species